rnacentral:rRNA from 1 species
CACGAACGCUGGCGGCAGGCUUAACACAUGCAAGUCGAGCGCCCCGCAAGGGGAGCGGCAGACGGGUGAGUAACGCGUGGGAAUCUACCCAUCUCUACGGAAUAACGCAUGGAAACGUGUGCUAAUACCGUAUACGUCCUUCGGGAGAAAGAUUUAUCGGAGAUGGAUGAGCCCGCGUUGGAUUAGCUAGUUGGUGGGGUAAAGGCCUACCAAGGCGACGAUCCAUAGCUGGUCUGAGAGGAUGAUCAGCCACACUGGGACUGGGACACGGCCCAGACUCCUACGGGAGGCAGCAGUUGGCAAUAUUGGACAAUGGGCGCAAGCCUGAUCCAGCCAUGCCGCGUGAGUGAUGAAGGCCCUAGGGUUGUAAAGCUCUUUCACCGGUGAAGAUAAUGACGGUAACCGGAGAAGAAGCCCCGGCUAACUUCGUGCCAGCCGCCGCGGUAAAAC